rnacentral:rRNA from 1 species
GAUUUCUGGCCUGAAGUAUUUAGCCGGCCACGGUUUCGUGUGUUAGUGCUUGGUACUCUGGCCAUCUUUCCAGUCGCUGCCCACUUUUCUUCAUUGAUUAGUGGGUAGUACUGGAUCUUUUACUUUGAAAAAAUUAGAGUGUUCAAAGCAGGCUUUUGCUAUGAAUAGAUUAGCAUGGAAUAAUAAUUUAGGACUUCGGUUCUAUUUUGUUGGUUUCUAGGACUGAAGUAAUGAUUGAUAGGGAUAGUUGGGGGUGCUAGUAUUCAGCGGCCAGAGGUGAAAUUCUCGGAUUCGCUGAAGACUAACUUAUGCGAAAGCAUU